UCUCCGUAGGUGAACCUGCGGAGGGAUCAUUACUGAGUGAGGGUCUCCGGGCCCGACCUCCAACCCUUUGUGAACACAACUUGUUGCUUCGGGGGCGACCCUGCCGUUUGCGCGGCGAGCGCCCCCGGAGCCCAUCAAACCCUGCGUAACCAAGUCGUCGGAGUUUAAACAAAUUAAACAAAACUUUCAACAACGGAUCUCUUGGUUCGGGCAUCGAUGAAGAACGCAGC
rnacentral:misc_RNA from 1 species